rnacentral:sRNA from 2 species
GGUGGAAACGAGAAUAAAGCGUGAAGGAUAACGUUGCGUCAGCAACGGCCCGUAGGGCGAGGCGAAGCCGAGUCAUCCUGCACAACCCACCA